AACGAACGCUAGCGACGCGUCUUAAGCAUGCAAGUCGAACGGUAGUCGGAGCUUGCUCCGAUGAGAGUGGCGAACGGGUGAGUAACGCGUGGGUGAUCUGCCUCGAGGAUGGGGAUAGCCGCUAGAAAUAGCGGGUAAUACCGAAUAAGCUUGCCUGGAUUAGCUAGGUAAGGAAAGGCGCAAUUGUGCCACCUUGAGAUGAGCCUGCGUCUUAUUAGCUAGUUGGUAGGGUAAAGGCCUACCAAGGCAACGAUAGGUAGCCGGCCUGAGAGGGUGAACGGCCACAUUGGGACUGAGAUACGGCCCAGACUCCUACGGGAGGCAGCAGCUAAGAAUCUUCCGCAAUGGGCGCAAGCCUGACGGAGCGACGUCGCGUGGGUGAUGAAGGUCGAGAGAUUGUAAAACCCUUUUCUAUGUGAGGAAUAAGGUGGGGAGUGGAACGCCCUGUCGAUGACGUUAGCGUAGGAAUAAGCUCCGGCAAAUUACGUGCCAGCAGCCGCGGUAAAAC
rnacentral:rRNA from 1 species